GCUCAGAUAACUCAAUUGGUAGAGUAGAAUACUGAAGAUAUUCCGGUUAUAAGUUCGAAUCUUAUUUUGGGCA
rnacentral:tRNA from 4 species